rnacentral:rRNA from 1 species
AACUAACGCUGGCGGCGUGCCUAACACAUGCAAGUCGUACGAGAAAGUUGGCUUCGGCCGAUGAGUACAGUGGCGCACGGGUGAGUAACGCGUGGAUAAUCUGCCCUUAAGUGUGGAAUAACGUACCGAAAGGUGCGCUAAUACCGCAUAAUGCCUGGCAACAUAAGUUGUCCGGCCAAAGAAGGCCUCUGCUUGCAAGCUUUCGCUAAAGGAUGAGUCCGCGUACCAUUAGCUAGUUGGUGGGGUAACGGCCUACCAAGGCGACGAUGGUUAGCUGGUCUGAGAGGAUGAUCAGCCACACUGGAACUGAGACACGGUCCAGACUCCUACGGGAGGCAGCAGGUGAGGAAUAUUGCGCAAUGGGGGCAACCCUGACGCAGCAACGCCGCGUGAGUGAGGAAGGUUUUCGGACUGUAAAGCUCUGUCGAGCGGGAAGAAGUGUACCAUGGGCUAAUAUCCAUGAUAUUUGACGGUACCGCUAGAGG